GAUUUAUUGGGCGUAAAGCGAGCGCAGACGGUUUAUUAAGUCUGAUGUGAAAGCCCGGAGCUCAACUCCGGAAUGGCAUUGGAAACUGGUUAACUUGAGUGCAGUAGAGGUAAGUGGAACUCCAUGUGUAGCGGUGGAAUGCGUAGAUAUAUGGAAGAACACCAGUGGCGAAGGCGGCUUACUGGACUGCAACUGACGUUGAGGCUCGAAAGUGUGGGUAGCAAACAGGAUUAGAUACCCUGGUAGUCCACACCGUAAACGAUGAACACUAGGUGUUAGGAGGUUUCCGCCUCUUAGUGCCGAAGCUAACGCAUUAAGUGUUCCGCCUGGGGAGUACGACCGCAAGGUUGAAACUCAAAGGAAUUGACGGGGACCCGCACAAGCGGUGGAGCAUGUGGUUUAAUUCGAAGCAACGCGAAGAACCUUACCAGGUCUUGACAUCCUUUGAAGCUUUUAGAGAUAGAAGUGUUCUCUUCGGAGACAAAGUGACAGGUGGUGCAUGGUCGUCGUCAGCUCGUGUCGUGAGAUGUUGGGUUAAGUCCCGCAACGAGCGCAACCCUUAUUGUUAGUUGCCAGCAUUCAGAUGGGCACUCUAGCGAGACUGCCGGUGACAAACCGGAGGAAGGCGGGGACGACGUCAGAUCAUCAUGCCCCUUAUGACCUGGGCUACACACGUGCUACAAUGGCGUAUACAACGAGUUGCCAACCCGCGAGGGUGAGCUAAUCUCUUAAAGUACGUCUCAGUUCGGAUUGUAGUCUGCAACUCGACUACAUGAAGUCGGAAUCGCUAGUAAUCGCGGAUCAGCACGCCGCGGUGAAUACGUUCCCGGGUCUUGUACACACCGCCCGUCACACCAUGGGAGUUUGUAAUGCCCAAAGCCGGUGGCCUAACCUUUUAGGAAGGAGCCGUCUAAGGCAGGACAGAUGACUGGGGUGAAGUCGU
rnacentral:rRNA from 1 species